rnacentral:lncRNA from 1 species
GUUGCAAGCCACUAUUAGUAAUUUGGUAUAGAACUUCACAUCAUUUUCUUUUGUUUUACUCAGUCUGAUUAUUUACCGAAGAUUUCUCUGAAAAUGCUCUCUAUGGAGAAGAAGAAGACACAACAGGUUCCUAGGAAUGCUCAUCGAAUUUCAGAUCAAAACAACUCCCGUAAGGUAUGAUAUGCAGUAUACUGAGUUUUGUAAAAUCCAUCGUCUUCGCUUGGAUGCCAAUGUUUUUGAAUCCAUCAAGUGCUGAGAUUAUGUGUUUUAUUGCUUUAAAUUACCCUCCACCAUCUCCAGCAUAAUGCAUAAGAAUUUUGCAUUUAGCUUGUGUCAUGUGUACGUAGUUAUUGAACCCGGAGCGAGACGGUAAGUGCCUUGGUUCAACCUGUUGGUUCAAUAAAAUAUUAUUGCAGGUUUUCCCCCUAGAUAAUAGUGAGGUUUAGCCGUAUUAUACUGGAUCCCAUAAAAAAUUCACGGCGUGGCAAUCUGUUGGAGCUAUUUUUCUAAUCCAACUUCCUCGAUAUUAAUUUGUCCGCCACUUGCCCAGCAAGGCCAAUCUUCUCCUCCUUGUGUUUAUUAGUACUUAGUUUUAGUUCUACUAAGUCUAAAACCUUUAAAUUCCAAUGUUUGCCGCCAUAGCUCUAACUUUAUAUUAGCCCUAUUCAGUAUCGCCGGGUAGCCACAUCAUCUACAAUGAGCAUACAUCAUGGGAUAUCUCCUUGUAUAUCACUAUUGACUUCAUACAUCACCGAAGCAAACAAAAAGUUGUUCAAAGCCGAGUAUUGGUGCAGUCCUAUUUUAAUUGAAAAGUUAUCAGGUUCGCCAUCACUUUUUCGAACAUUUGUCACAAUAGCAUCAUACACGUCCUUGAUGUGGGCAAUGUAGAUUGGACUUUGUGUUUCUCCAAAGCCCACCCCAUGACAUUCAACAAUAUCUUAUCAUGGGCCUUCUCCAAGUCAAUGGAUACCAUAUACAAGUCCUUUUUUUGCUCCCAUAUACAAGUCCUUUUUUGCUCCAUAUAUCUUUUAGUACCAAGAAAAAAACUCCAUGGUCAACCUCCUGGCAUUAAACUAAUCUGAUUUUUGGUCAUGCUUGUCAUUCUUAAGUGGUACUCAAUGAAUCCCUCCCAUAACUUCAUUGUAUGGCUCAUGAGCUUAAUUCCAUAAUAAUUAGUACAACUUUGAAUACCCUCUUAUUCUUGAAGAUUUGUACUAAUAUAGUCCAUAUUAGUACAGUUAUAGCUUAGUAAAGAGUACAAAUACAAAUACAAGGUUUGAACACAAAUAGUACAAUAUGUCUAGUUGUACAUAAAUGCACAAAUACAUGGUUUUGACAAGUAGUAUGCCACACUUGUCAAUUUUCAUACAUUGUUUGCCUAUCUUCUGGAUUGUUGUGCCACUCAUUCAAAUGGUAUCUCACAGCAUGAAAUGGUCGCAAGAAAUCUGGUUUGAAUCAAAUAGGUAAAAAAAUCCUAAAAAAGAGAAGAAAAAAAUGUGGCUGUCAUGGAUGCAACUUGAUUGUAUUGCCAGGCCCAUGGGGCAAAUAUAUAGUACAAAAGAUUUGAGAUGAAAGAAAGGAAAUACAGCCUAAUAUGGACUUCUAGACCAAUACUAAUACUUCUUAACCCUACCCAACACCCCACCCCCACCCCUCAAAAGCAAAGCAUAUGGAAUAACAUUUCAUUUGAGGAAGUGUGACACUAGGAAAAACGAUAAACCAAAAUCCAUGUCUUCAGAGUGUUGUUAUAGCAUGAAGUGUAUUCAAAAUCUGUCGAGUCAAGCCAAUGGGGAUAACGAAGAAGAUGCCGCAUUAGAGCAAGGCACCGCAUUAAUAGAAGAAACAAGAUAUGUAUCAAGAGAAGAUGGGUUGUCAAAAAAGAUGGCACAAGACGAGCAUGAAGCAUUGCACACAAAAUCAUAGCCAAGAAAACAGGGGGCGAAAGAAGCUCGGCGGCAAGAGAAUAUGCGUAGAUCUACAAUGCAAAAAGAGGCCACAAAAAUCAUAUAAAAAGGCUAAGGACCAGAAAAAGAUUGACGGAUAAAGAUAUGGUGGACUCACAUGACAUGAGAAAUAUGAAAAAGAGCAACAUACUUGAUGGACAUAUUGGAAAAUAUAGAAAACUAGAAAGCAUAUGAAGCACACACGAGACAAAAAUGUGAGUGCUAUCGUGUAUGCUAGAGAAGUUACGGAGAAGACUCUGCAUGUUACAUGCUGAUGAGGACCAUCAAAAAAGAGCAACUACCAGAAGAGCACGCAACACCGCAAGAUUUUUUUUGAAAUGUUCNNNNNNNNNNNNNNNNNNNNNNNNNNNNNNNNNNNNNNNNNNNNNNNNNNNNNNNNNNNNNNNNNNNNNNNNNNNNNNNNNNNNNNNNNNNNNNNNNNNNNNNNNNNNNNNNNNNNNNNNNNNNNNNNNNNNNNNNNNNNNNNNNNNNNNNNNNNNNNNNNNNNNNNNNNNNNNNNNNNNNUGAAUAUAUAUUUCAAAACCUGCCAGGUGUUACAGAGUUAGGAGUGUUGCGAGGAUAGGAACUCACGCCACAGACCGGCGUGGCCCUUUAGAGUUUCAGAUUUUAGUCUAUGAGACCAAACAAUCAAAUCAUCCAAGAUGGCUCUCAAGGAGUUUGAAGCCACAACAUCUAGUCCUUGGAAAACUUUCUCGUUGCACGCGUCCCAGAUUUUCCAAAGAAUCAGAAGGAGCAUGAAGGGGCGGACCGUGGUAAGCAGCACAUCCGGAAGCGUCAUACUGAAGAGACUGGUGAUAGGGGUGUAAAGAGGGCAGAUGCCGGCUGCUCUCCAGAUCCUGCGAGCUGUUGGACAAGUGAAAAAAAGGUGUUGUCGAUCCUCAACCGAGUGAGUACAUCUAGGACAAGCUGAAGAGUCCAGAAUGCUCUUCUUAUGCAGAUUCUUCCUUGUGUUUAGGCGAUCAAGGUAGAAUAGCCAACCGAAGAUCAUAACCUUCUUGGGAACCUUUGAGUCCCAAAUAUCAUUAAGCAUGGGUUUCGAGAGGUGAUCCGAGAGGGCCGCAUAUGCGCCCUUUGUGGAAAAGGCAGCGCCGUUAAGCAGGCGACGAUCGUCCGGUACCUAAGAGAGAGCACAGUUCUGCAACAAGGAAUUAAGAGAAGCAAGUUCUGCAAUCACAGUAGAGGUUAGUCGAUUACGAAGAGCAAGUUCGAUCCCAUCCUGCAAAAUAGUGACUACCAGGCCGUUUUGGUUUGUGUGGUGAGAAAAAAGAGCUGGGUACACUAAAGCCAGGGGUUCCGGCUUUAGCCAAUGAUCUAACCAAAAAAAAGUAGAGCAACCAUCAACAACAGUACACUGGGAAAUCUCUCUCAAACUCUGUAGAUGCUUAAAAAUGGUUUUAGCUAGGAAAGAGCUAUUUUUGCCAUGUCCAAUGUGAAGAGGCGAAUGGUGUAAGACCCAAUCCUUCCAGGGAAGGUUUGAGGAGUGUAAAAAUUUAUAAGCAAAUUUCAGCAGUAGACAAAAGUUUUGUGCGCGAAGGUUUUUUACACCUAGACCACCAGCUUCUCUAGGGGUACAAACUUUAUCCCAAGAAACCAGGCAUUUUGCCCCAGAGCAAGUGUCGUCGUUAGACUAGAAAAAGGUACGUCGUCUCUUGUCGAUAGCUUCAAUAACCUGGACAGGAAGAGUGAAACAGAGCAUAAAAUAGGUAGGGAGGCUGUCUAGAACGGCGGAGAGGAGAACAAGCUUGCCACCACGAGAGAGAAGUAGCGCGCACCACCCAGCAAGGUAGAUAUCACACCGAUCAAUGACUGGUUGGAAGGCUGAGGGGGGAAGUUUGUAGGGAGAGAGAGGAAGGCCGAGAUAAGUUUGCGGAAAGGAGGAGAUGUUAGUGGCAAGGUCGGCUGCCAUAAGGGCUGUGCCGGUGGGAUCAACAUUAAGGGGGAUAAAGGUGGUCUUGUCAAAAUUAAUCUGGAGACCAGUGGCCACAGCGAAGCUAUCUAGAAUACUCUUGAGGUGUUUUGCUGCCCCGGGCGUAGCUUUAACUAUGAUAAGCGUGUCAUCGGCGUAUUGAAGGACGGGACAGGGAAGGCGAGGGCUUAGGGGGUGCAACAACUUACCUUCACGGUUGGCUUUGAUGAUCAUUUGUUGGAGGAUAUCGGCGACAAUAAUGAAAAGGCAAGGGGAGAGAGGGUCGCCCUGCCGGAGGCCAUUUUUGCAUUGAAUCCACCUCCCCGGGAUGCCAUUUAGCAUAACGGCAGUGGAACCAGUGUUAAGGAGAGAGUUAAUCCAGUCGCACCACCGAGGGGGGAAACCUCUAACCUGAAGGGUAUGGAGGAGGGUCGUCCAGCAAACAGAGUCAAAGGCUUUCCGAAAGUCUAGUUUGAUGAUGAGGGAGGGGGCUUUCCUUUUAGCGCAAGGAUAUCUGCAGCGUAGAGGAAGUUCUCAGAGAUGUUACGACCAUACAGGAAACCAGUUUGGUCAGCAUGCACCAAGAGGGGGAUAAGGGGUUUUAACCUGUUGGUUAGAAGUUUUGCGACUCCUUUGAUAGGACAGUUUUGAAGAGAGAUGGGGCGGAAGUCAGCGGGGGAGCGAGCAUCAGAAUGCUUUGGAAGGAGGAUUAUGAGGGCCCGGUUAAGGCAAGAGAUAUCGCUGAUUUGGGCGUGAAAGUCUGAAAGGAAAUGAGUUAUCUUCCCUUUGAGGAUGCGCCAAAAUUUGCGGUAGAACCCAGGGCCGAAGCCGUCCGGUCCAGGACUAGCAUUCUUGUUCAUGGAGAGGAAGGCAUUGGUGAUUUCAGUGUCUGUGAAGGGUGCAUCCAGAGAGCAGAGUUGUGGAACGGGUUCUGGGUAUAAGUCCGUGAGAGCGAAGGACCAGGUUGGCUGAAAGGCCGUGCCGAGAAGGGAGGCGUAGAAGUCAAAAAGAAUGUUGGAUUGAGCAUCGUGGGAGAAGAAUUCUGAGCCAUUUGAGACAAGAGUAUUAAUUUUAUUUUUCCGGAGACGGGCAGAGGCAGACGCGUGAAAGAAGCGAGAGUUUUCAUCUCCUUCUAAAGUGGUGCGAAUUUUACCACGCUGGAUCCAAUAGAGGGCUUUCUCACGAAGCGUGCGUUGGAGGACUUUAAUAAUGACACGACGGAGAGCCAGUUCAGGAGACUAGAGGAAACGAGAUUCUUCGAUGAGGUCAAGAACGGAAAUGACAGUCUUGCAGUUCCUCUCCCGAGUGUUUAGAGGCAGAGCGGAGCGCCGCCAAAUUUUUAAGUCAGCGCGAGUACGUUUGAGAGCAGCCACUAGGGAAAGCGAGUGGUUUGAACAGGAGCGGGCCGCGGUCCAAGCGUUUUGGACUACCAUAAGACAGGUCGGCCUAGUGGUCCAUCUAAGCUCGAAACGGAAAAGCGCGGGCGAGGGAUGACGGUAUCUAUAGUGAUCAGCAGGGGAACAUGGUCAGAGACGAAUCUAGUGAGCGAGGAAAUGGUGGUGUUUGGGAAGAGGAGAUCCCAGUCCACAUUGAUGAAAACUCUGUCAAUUUUUUCGAGAGUGGGUUGAUCUCUUUUGCUAGACCAAGUGUAGCAUCUAUCUGGAAGGGGAAGCUCAAUCAGCGCCCUCUGGUUAAUAAAGGAAUUGAACAUGUCUGCUUCGGACUGCCUGAAAUUACUCGUGUUUUUGUCCGAGGGAAGUCUUAGGAGAUUGAAAUCACCCAAGAUUAGCCAAGGUGUGGGAGGAGAGGGGGCAAAGGUAGCGAGCUCUGACAGGAAUUCCUGCUUGAGCGCGUGGUCGGUAGGAGCAUAAACAUUGGUAAUGGCAAGCGAGUGAGGGGAGGCUAGACAGGAGACGAGGGUUGUUUGGGUGUAGAGUCCAGAGUCCAUGGCAAUAAGAGAAAAAUGAGCCGAGGAGAAGGCCGAAAGCAUACCACCUGCAGACCCAAGGGCCGGACGAGGGUGGGUUAGAUUCAGGUGCUUAGGGAGGAAGGAACACUGCUUAAGAAUAGAGAUGGAGUCUAGCUUGGUCUCUUGCAAAAAGCAAGCAUGUGGAUUAAUGGCCAGGAGUUCAGAGAGAAUAUCCGAACACUUUUGCAUUUGCCCAAGGCCACGAACAUUCCAACAGCAGAAACUGAAUUUGUGAUUAACCAUAGCGAAGAGGAAGGCACCUAGAAGCAAAGGCAAGUUCACUAGAGGGACAAAGCAGACAGUCCUGGGAGCACACACGUGUUACAAAACACGUUACAAAAGGGUCGAAGACCAACUCGCCGGAACAGCACGGCGACCACGGGCUUAAGCUAAGGAACGGGAAACUAGGAAUUAAACCAUUGCCAGAUGGGCAGGUACAUCCAUAACAAGUAAGGACAGAGCGGCCAUGGCGAGGAGCCGUCGUCCAAGGCAGGAGAUUGUUGAUCACGGCGCCGGCGAGGACACCUCCUGAACCUCCACCGGUUCAGCGCCACAGAGCUUGGCAAUGAGAGCAAGGGCAUCGGAGUCCAGCACCGGAUCCUCUGGGGAGCUGGUGAGUCCAGAGGAAUCCAGGGCUUCGACGAGGUCGUGAGAGGCGUGCUGCAGGUCGAAGCGACGGGCCUUGACACGCAUGGCCUUCGUGGUCAUGUCCACGAACUGACCAUCCCCUUUGUCAGUGAGGCGACGACUGCGGCGGAGCUUGACAGCGUCGGUGGCCCUCUUAUUAGCAGCCAUUUUACGACACAUCGUGGCCUCAUGCGCUUCAGACCCAAGCGAGGUAGAAUCCUUGACUGAACAGGAGGGAGCAGCAAAACUUAGGGGCAGAUCGAGAGAAAGAGAGAUGGAAAGUUGGGAGUCCGGAUAUUUACCCGAGAGAAGUGAGGUAUCACCACCAUCUAAGUCGAGCGCGGAGAAAGAGUUGGGGACAUCGACCGAUGGCGUGAAGGUGCCGGAGAGGUCAGAGCCUUGGGCGGCGCCCUUAAUGCCCUCACUGCCAUCGAACAGCACGAGCGCAUCAACAGGGGCCGCAGCUGGUGGCAACAGAGGACCGCCGACGAGAGGUUGGCGAAAGUCGCGAGGGGCUUGCGUGGCUUGAGCUUGAGGAGGCGAGGACGGCCCAGCAGUUGGCGUUUGUGGCUGCAUGGAAUCUGCAGCGUGUGGGCCAGAGCAAGGCCCAACAUUGCUGCAGUUCCACCGCCAGGCACCGUGGACAUGAGCUUCACUGUCGUUGUCGUCCACGUCAUGGUCGAGGGGGAUGGUGAGGUCCUCAAAAACGGCCCAAGUCUUGACGACACGGAGCUUGACGUCAACGAUUUGGGCUGGCGGAAGGCGAAGGAUGCACCCAUCCGGGGUGACAUGGUCACUCUCAACGCGGAGAAAGGUGCGCAUUGCCGUGAAGUCGCCGGCGUUGAGGCAGCGGUUGUCAACACAGCAGAGCACCCCAAAGUGGUCGAACACGAAGUUGGCGCCUUGGGGGUGCCACAGCUCGAGCGGGUAGUUCUUGGCCUCGAUCUCCACCAAGUGGUCGUAGCGCGUGGUGGCCCGAUUGUCGGUCUCCUCCGGACGGAGGAGAGUGAUGGUGACGCCGGCGAACUUGGCGGUGAAGUGAUCAUGGUCAUCUCACGGUCCUCGUGGGAGUCGGAGACGAGAAGGGCCGCACACCCCGUCGUGGACGCGAAGUAGAAGGAUGUAACGCCGGCGUAGAGCUCGACGGCGUGGUGAAUGAGGUCGUACGGCUCCGCCAUGACGUGGUCAAGGUGGGCGAAGCAGAAAUGCCCAACGUCGUGGAGGAGGCCGGAGGGGAUGAAGAUGUCCGGAUACGUAGAGUGCGCGCGGCCAGGAGAGGAGGCCGAGGACGAAGCAGAUGAUGGCGGGCGGACUGGCCCGCGGAUGCCGGAGGCCGCAUCCGGCACCGUGCCAUCCCUGCCAGCGGCAAAGACGUAGCUGGGGCGCGGGGAUCCACGCUGGGACGGGGGAGCGGAGUCAUCGUCCGACGAGGCAGAGCGAGGCGAACGCGGCGAGGUGGUGAGGGGUUGUAGCAGGGUGAGGCGGUGGGAGCCGAUGACGAGGAUGUUUGGGUUGUCGUCAGCCAUGGGAGGGUUUCGGUGGAGGAGACGAAGGCGUUGGAGGGCUAGGGAAGGUUGGAGGUGCACUGGUAGCUGCGAUGGCCAGAACCACCACAACGAGAGCAGCGGAUGGGAUCAUGACAAGCUUGGACUAGGUGGUCUAGAGCAAGGCAACGAAAACACAGAGGUCUAGAGCGGAUGCGGGGGGAGUGGUGAGGUGAGGUCGCUGAUAAAGGGGCGGGGGAGCGGAGGGCGCGGCGGGCGAGCGGGGGCUGGGAGCGGGGUGCCGCUGCAUUUUUGGGGGAGAGAGCAGCACGUUGCGGCAGGAGGGAGCAGGAACAGGCGCCGCGGCGAUGGGACUUGACUCGGGGAGCGUGGAUGAGGGCGAAGAGGUGAGCGGCGAGCUCUCGAGUGGGUUUGGGGUAGGGCUUUCAUAGGGUGGGCAGAGAGCAGUGCAGCGGUUCACGGCGUUUUGCUUAUGGACAGGGGUCGUAGUGAGGGGGAGCUCACAGGCUGGGUCUACGCGGGAGGGAGAGGUAGUUAGGUUUGCCAUUAAUGCUGGCAGAGGAGGAGGACGGGGAGGUACGUCGCAUGCUUGCAUGCCGGGUACGGAGGGGGUCGCGAGCGAAGCAGGAGGCGGGGGGCAUUGGGAGGCGGGAACGGGAUUGGACCGGGCAUGGCAGCGCCGCGCGCGUCAGCACGCGUGCAUGCCUUGGCUAUCUGCUACGUGCAAGAAAACAAUUGGACUAGGCUAGUAACGGGAGGAAGGGGAAGGACAGAGUGUGGUGUACCCAGAAUGGAGGGAGGGGUAGUGGUACCGGUUGUUUCCUUGGCAGCCAAGUCUGGGGUACGCAGAGGUUCAAAAUUUGAAUUCACAUAAGCUUUUGCCGCCUGGAGGGAGCAGCUGAGGGCUAGGGUAAUGCCAGGGCAAGAAACCGGAGACUUAUUGACGAGCUCGUUUCUGACCUCAUCCGACGACACUAGAGUAAGGAAGAAACACUCUUGGUAAUGCAUAACAAUAAAGCUAGAACGCCCAGCGAAAAAGUGGUCGAGGGCAAGUUUAACCAAAAACGCACUCGGUUUUGCUACUGCUGAAAAGAAGCUUAUCCAAAGCAAGGUGUGUGUUUUGGGAUCAGGAGUGGUGGUAGGUAGUGGAACUAGAUCAACUUUGAACUUGCGCAGGAUAAAAGAACGAAACUUGAACCCAUGCCGUAAUGGACUAACCUGAACUGGUGACCGAGGCAAGCUUGUCAAAGAUCCAGGCUGAGGAAGAGUGCGCCUCUCAGGCUUGGAAGGGGCCGCCGCCGGAGCGCCCCUCCUGGAUGGCAAUGUAGGGAUGGAGAAACGAACGUCCAUCCCAGGUCGCCGGAGCGCACCAAAGGAGAUGACGAGGUCGGCGACACCCCGAUUUGCCACCAAGAAGGAAAACUCGUCUUCCGCUUCCUCAGCAGCGUGGAACUACGAAGGGACUCUGCCGAACAGGCAGGCGAGGAUGAGGUUGCACAGUUGCUGCGAAACCGCGAAGGGGAACUGGAGGAAAGUAACCCGCAAGCGGCAAGCCGGCGGGGCCGGCGCAGAAGGAACUGUGACGAAAGACUUGAACCUGAACCAGGCAGCAUUUUCGAAUUUUGUGGUCGUGGCGUGAUGCAGCAGGAGGACAUCCGUCAAGGGUUUGCAAGAGGAGACAACCUGAGCCGAGGGAGAGGGCUCAGAUGGCAAGAACGGGCUGAAGGAGAGCGAGAACAGUCUCCGAUGGAUGGGAGGACGAAGGCCAAGAAUAUCAGUAACCAAAGUCGCAUGCGAGACAGAGAAGAGGAAGGUUUGAGAGUGUAGAAGACGGACAUUGAAGGAGUCAGCUAAUCCGCCAAUGAAGAAUUGCAGAAGAGCGCUGGCCAGCAGCUCGUCGAACCAGAGCUUGGUCGAGGAGACAGUAAGGCAGAGCAGGUGCUCCGACGAGCCAGAAGCGAAGCAUGGCUCGGGGAGCUGGAGCUUGUCCGCUUCGCUGAGACCAAGGAAAAGACGCAGGGAGUCCUGAGCGAGAAGGACAUAUCGAGGGCAGGGGAGAGGAUCAGCUACGCCCGCGAGGAGAGCGCCGAGCGGCCGAGGAGUGGCCGGCAGCGAAGGCGAGGCGGAGGAGGGGAACGGGAGCGGGAGCGAGGAGAGAACCCAACACCGCAAGAUGGUUCAUAUGCGAGACGAAGUCGACAAAAUGACCACCGUCAAGAAUCACCGAAGGGAAACAACAUUGGAUUGUUUUUAUUUCAAGCUGACUACACACGGAAUGCACUAAUAGAUCAGUAGCCAGCAAACAUACAACAACAAAGUGGCCGGCCAGAGCAACACCGAGCGAACGAAGCCAAGGAGAAACGCAACUAUACCAAUAGUACGUAGGGGAUUGAGGGUCUUGCAUGGAGAAGCCGUUUAGGGGACAGGCGGUGCACGAAAAUCCUACACCUAGGAAGUAAACUUACAUAAAUUGUCUUAUGUGAACACGUGUCNNNNNNNNNNNNNNNNNNNNNNNNNNNNNNNNNNNNNNNNNNNNNNNNNNNNNNNNNNNNNNNNNNNNNNNNNNNNNNNNNNNNNNNNNNNNNNNNNNNNNNNNNNNNNNNNNNNNNNNNNNNNNNNNNNNNNNNNNNNNNNNNNNNNNNNNNNNNNNNNNNNNNNNNNNNNNNNNCUAAUCUCAUACGUAAGUUUUCGUAAAUGUAGUAAAGCUCGGCAGUGUAGUCCAUUGUGUAGCAUGGAAUCCAGUAGCAAGCGGACAGGAGAAGUAGCACAGGAAGACAACGCUUUGAGGUGGCAGCUAUCAGCUGUCAGUGACCAAUCUGGGCAGCUGUCAGCGACCUCCUCACUGUGCGACCCAGUGGUAAACCAAUGCCUAGCCCAGCACCAGAUUGCGGCGCUUCAGAAACACUUGUAAAGUUUACUCUAAUUGUAUGAAAAAACCGUCCAUAACAUAAAAUUAAAAGGUUCAAAUCCUAGACAAUUCUGUUCAAUCAAAGAGGAUAUGCAUGUGCUAUCUUAAACAGAAGAGAUAAAAAGAAGGAUGGCUGAAUGCUACGUCUUGAGCUUGCGUUGGUUUUUCCCGAAGAGGAAGGGAUGAUGCAGCAGAGUAGCGUAAGUAUUUCCCUCAGUUUUUGAGAACCAAUGUAUCAAUCCAGUAGGAGCCCACACUCAAGUCCCUCGUACCUGCACAAAGCGAUAGUUACUCGCAACCAACGCGAUUAGGGGUUGUCAAUCCCUUCUCGGUCACUUACGAGAGUGAGAUCUGAUAGAUAUAAUAUUUUUGGUAUUUUUGGUAUAAAGAUGCAAAGUAAAAAGUAAAAAAGCAAAGCAAGAUUAAAGUGAUGGAGACUGAUAUGAUGAGAAUAGACCCGGGGGCCAUAGGUUUCACUAGUGGCUUCUCUCAAGAGCAUAAGUAUUCUACGGUGGGUGAACAAAUUACUGUUGAGCAAUUGACAGAAUUGAUCAUAGUUAUGAGAAUAUCUAGGCAUGAUCAUGUAUAUAGGCAUCACGUCUGUGACAAGUAGAUCGAAACGAUUCUGCAUCUACUACUAUUACUCCACUCAUCGACCGCUAUCCAGUAUGCAUCUAGAGUAUUAAGUUAAAAACAGAGUAACGCCUUAAGCAAGAUGACAUGAUGUAGAGAGAUAAAUUCAUGCAAUAUGAAAUAAACCCCAUCUUGUUAUCCUCGAUGGCAACGAUACAAUACGCGCCUUGCUGCCCCUUCUGUCACUGGGUAAGGACACCGCAAGAUCGAACCCAAAGCUAAAAACUUCUCCCAUGGCAAGAACUACCAAUCUAGUUAGCCAAACCAAACAGAUAAUUCGAAGAGACUUGCAAAGAUAACCAAUCAUACAUAAAAGAAUUCAGAGAAGAUUCAAAUAUUAUCCAUAGAUAGACUUGAUCAUAAACCCACAAUUCAUCGUUCUCAACAAACACACCGCAAAAAGAAGAUUACAUUGAAUAGAUCUCCACAAGAGAGGGGGAGAAAUUUGUAUUGAGAUUCAAAGAGAGAGAAGAAGCCAUCUAGCUAUUAACUAUGGACCCGAAGGUCUGAGGUAAACUACUCACACUUCAUCGGAGAGGCUAUGAUGAUGUAGAAGCCCUCCGUGAUGACGGCCCUCUUCCGGCAGAGCUCCGGAACAGGCCCCAAGAUGGGAUCUCGUGGAUACAGAAAGUUGCGGCGGUGGAAUUAGGUUUUUGGCUCCUGUUCUGAUCGUUUGGGGGUACGGUGUAUAUAUAGGAGGAAGAAAUACGCCGGAGGAGCAACGAGGGGCCCACGAGGCAGGAGGGCGCGCCCUAGGGGGCGCCCCCCAUCCUCGUGACCGCCUCUUUUGUUCCUUGGAGCAGGGUCCAAGUCUCCUGGAUCAUGUUCGGUGAGAAAAUCACGUUCCUGAAAGUUUUAUUCCGUUUGGACUCCGUUUGAUAUUCCGUUUCUUCGAAACACUGAAAUAGGCAAAAAAACAGCAAUUCUGGGCUGGGCCUCCGGUUAAUAGGUUAGUGCCAAAAAUAAUAUAAAAAUGGAAAAUAAAGCCCAAUAUAGUCCAAAACAGUAGAUAAUAUAGCAUGAAGCAAUCAAAAAUUAUAGAUACGUUGAAGACGUAUCACUGAACAAUGCAAAAAAUGUAAAUUUUGUACAUGUUGCACACUUAGAACAUAAGUAAGACACCCGUAAAAGGCAUGAGCGCAUCAUGCAUCCCAUAUUUCUUAGUUACAUUGUGCGCAGAUUGCACAUAAGUACUCCAGAGUUCUAUAAGCCAUCUUAUUUCCAAACUUUUCUAAACGUCAUGUAUAAAAGAUAUAGUAAAUUGUUGACAAAAGCACAAAGUAAUGGCGAAAGUCUACUUCUGCUCCCAAGCUCAAAUGAGCUUGGUCAACAGUAAAAUAAAAAACGAAAAAAUCAAAAAAAUCUGACAUUAUUUUAUGACAAACAUAGAAAGAAGUUUUAAGUGCUUGCAAAAAAUCAUUAUGGAAUCACAUUCCUGUAAGGCGUGGCAAAAAAUCAAAUUCAGUGCUCUAAAAUGUAGCUGGCCAAACGGUCCGGGCCAAUCAGGCCAGGCCACGAGCACGCCGGCACUGCCCGCCAUGGGCCAGGCACGGCACGGGCUAAACGGGCCGUGCCCGGCACGCGGCACGCCUUGGGCCUAGAGGCUGGGCAGCGGGCCCGGACGGCACGGCCAGUUUAUUAUUUUUUUUAUUUUUCCAGAUUUCUUUAUAUAUAUAUAUAUGACCUAAAUUAAAGCCCAAUAGGCCUAAAAUACAGCCUAAUAGGCUGAAAAACAUGCGGCCCAGUGUGCUAAAUGUGCCAUGGGCCGGCCCGUUCAAUAACCAGGCCAUGUCUGGGCCAAGGAGUGGCGCACGUGGGCCGGCACAGCACGACCCGGCUAUUAAAAAUGCCACGGCGGGCCGUGCCGUGCCGGGCCGGCUCGUUUGGCGAGAUCUGCUCCAAAAUGCUUUUGGAAGUAGAAUUUUUAGAGUACCAAUUACUUUUUUGCCACACCUUCUAGGAAUGUGAUUCCACGAUGAAUUUUUGCAAGCACUUAAAACUUUUGUCAAUGUCUGUCACAAAAACAUUUCAGAUUUUUUUGAAUUUCUUUCGAUUUUUUUUAUUUUACUGUUAGCCCAAGCUCAUUUGAGCUUGGGCUAAAAAAGUCUGCGUCUGGCUAACCUUCCAUACAUUCACGAAAGCGCGGAACUAAAUCAGUAUGGUCCAAGCUAUCUUCUUUACAGUACCACCAAGCAAAGAUCACAUCGCAAAGAACAUAAAUCUUAGUAUGUAUCGCCAGAAGAAUUCAACAAUCCGAUUUUCUUCCUCACUUGCCCACAAUAGUGAGUCUCCCAUGCGAUUUGUCUACAGUGUGGGCUGUGGCACACCAGCAAUUUUUGUUUUCAGUCAUCACUCAACAAUAAUCUUUCUUGCAUCAUCUGCUCCAUAUCUCUUACUAAUCUGUUGUCAUCAGUAUUGGAUGUCAAGACAGCUACGCCCCUGAUUUCAUUUUGUUUUCAUCAAAUAUCGUCCUCUUCAUGUCUCUCGUUAACAUUUUUCUUUCUCUACAUUUUCAGCCACAUACGCAGGCCUCUCAAAAGCGUGCUCGUCUGAACUACUGAUUACUCUUGAUCGUAAGGAAUUCUAACUCAAAAUAUGAUCUUAGUAUCUACGUAUUGGGUAGAGUAACUUAGAUAAAAAAAUUGGAUUAUGUGUAUCCUUGCAAUAUGUAUCUUGUUCCUAUAUAUGAUAUGUAUAUCCAGUAGGGAUCUACCACAUGCUCCCUCCCAUCCCAUGAACGGGUUGUUAACAAUGAGUAUAUUCAUAACGAUGAUUAGAAUCACCGUAUAUAAGUAGAAUAUAAGACCAUAGCCCUAGUAGAGCUAUAGUACGACUAUACGACCACCAUCACCAGUCGUGGUCAUCGCAGCAGUAGACGUCGUAUUCUCCAGCGCCGCCAGCGGGUGGGCGAUCUCUCCACCAACUGCUAUGUACUCUCCACUGUAUGUCUUGCAUGCAAGCGAGCGUACAUGUUAUAAGUACAUGCAUGUUAAGUUAAUCAUGUGGAUACAUGCACUGUUGGCGCCGCCUCCUCGCAGCGCCGCUCUUCUUCUUUCUCUCGUUGCCUCACACAACUCUCUUGUGGUUUCUCUCUAUCUUUUUUUCUUAAGAACACAAGAACACACUCACAUCGAAGAAACUCAAACACACACGCACACACCAAGGAAGAAAUCCAACCAGCUUUGCCAAGAGGCCUUUCUCCUCGGUCACCCGAGGGGCUACAUCUUUUCUCUAGCCCUCACAGCCUCUCUUUUCAUUAACUCAAAGCAGUACAUAUAUACACAAGGACCCAUGCACUCACGCCACACCGGCCACGUCCUGGAGUCACUCCAUGAUGCGGAUGGCCCGGCCAACCGGCCACUACUCACUAGCACACGCACUAAGCUAACCAGCCACUACUCAUUAGCACACGCACUAAGCUAACCAACUACUUGCAUGCACCUAUUCUCUUUCCCUGAAUUGCUCCAACGUCCCAAGACUAGGCCUACAACUAACAUGCAGCUAACCACCUACGCAUGCAUCAGCUACUUGAUCAGCACCACGGCCCGUCACACUUCAGCCUUGGUUGUGCCUUGCCGCUUCUCACGGCGUCGCCGUAUCGCACGGUACCAUCGGCAUCUCGCCGUGCUCGCCGCAUCUCACGGUAGUCUGGCAUCUCGCCUUCUCCACAUAUCUUUUUUGAAGCUUGGCCGGACUCGCUACUCGCUAGACAUCUAAGUUACAUGUAGGACUCAAAACAAAUAUGCAGAUACAUAAUCAAGAUUAAAAAGCCUAACAUGCACCUCAGAAUUCACGCAUGUGUAUUCUAACUAAUUCAUUAUUCAUAACUAAUAAUCAAUUAUUUUUCUGAUGUGAAUGUAGCCUCUGACUAUCUGUCAUCAUUCUCACAGGUUGUCACAAGUGGACUGGAACAAACGCCAUGUUGAAGAAUAAUCAAGGAUCUGCGAUUGACUUCUACUUGACCUGCUACUUGGCGUUUGAUAAUAAUAAAAACUCCAAUAGAACUUUAAAAUAACUAUUCGUCUUGGACUCCGAGUGUCACUUUAUCAGUAUUGCUUAUUGUUGUUGUAUUGGCGUGGGUUAUGACUUUAAAUGUGCCACUCUCAGUGUUAUGCAGUCUGAUAAAAAUUGUAUUGAUAUGGUUUACAUAGUAGAAAUAAAACCAUUUAUAUUGUUUGCGUAGUACAAAUAAAUCAUGUCUCAAUGCAUGUAUGAAACCCGAUACUUAUUAUCAGUUUCUUAUCCGAGUCUAAUCCAA